rnacentral:misc_RNA from 1 species
AGUCGUAACAAGGUUUCCGUAGGUGAACCUGCGGAAGGAUCAUUAGCAAAUCUCUCAGGGAUGUCUCCCCGUAGGGGAGGCAUCAUCUGUUCCGGGGGGAGAGUCUGUAUGGCUCUCUCUCUGUGUUCAAUGUGCUCAGAUGAAAUAUUCUGUGUCCAAGUGCUCCACGGAAAUGUAAAUCACAACCAAAAAACCAAAACAUAAAACAACUUUUAACAAUGGAUCUCUGGGCUCCU